rnacentral:rRNA from 2 species
UAAGCCAUGCGAGUCAUUGUAGCAAUACAAGGCAUACGGCUCAGUAACGCGUAGUCAACCUAACCUAUGGACGGGAAUAACCUCGGGAAACUGAGAAUAAUGCCCGAUAGAACAUUAUGCCUGGAAUGGUUUAUGUUCCAAAUGAUUUAUCGCCGUAGGAUGGGACUGCGGCCUAUCAGUUUGUUGGUGAGGUAAUGGCCCACCAAGACUAUUACAGGUACGGGCUCUGAGAGGAGUAGCCCGGAGAUGGGUACUGAGACACGGACCCAGGCCCUAUGGGGCGCAGCAGGCGAGAAAACUUUGCAAUGUGCGAAAGCACGACAAGGUUAAUCCGAGUGGUUUCUGCUAAAGAAACCUUUUGUCAGUCCUAGAAACACUGAUGAAUAAGGGGUGGGCAAGUUCUGGUGUCAGCCGCCGCGGUAAAACCAGCACCUCAAGUGGUCAGGAUGAUUAUUGGGCCUAAAGCAUCCGUAGCCGGCUCUGUAAGUUUUCGGUUAAAUCUGUACGCUCAACGUACAGGCUGCCGGGAAUACUGCAAAGCUAGGGAGUGGGAGAGGUAGACGGUACUCGGUAGGAAGGGGUAAAAUCCUUUGAUCUAUUGAUGACCACCUGUGGCGAAGGCGGUCUACCAGAACACGUCCGACGGUGAGGGAUGAAAGCUGGGGGAGCAAACCGGAUUAGAUACCCGGGUAGUCCCAGCUGUAAACUAUGCAAACUCAGUGAUGCAUUGGCUUGUGGCCAAUGCAGUGCUGCAGGGAAGCCGUUAAGUUUGCCGCCUGGGAAGUACGUACGCAAGUAUGAAACUUAAAGGAAUUGGCGGGGGAGCACCACAAGGGGUGAAGCCUGCGGUUCAAUUGGAGUCAACGCCGGG